UAAGGUAGAGGUGCGGUGCUUAUGAUUACGGCAGCUUUUAACGAUGGGCAAUCGGAGCUGCAAUAAAGGAAACACCGCCGAAAUAUACGGUUCGUUGCCUGAGGGCCGUAUGUUGGGUUGCAGCAGAAUAUGUUGCAGACUGUCACGAAUGUGAAGCGCUAUCCG
rnacentral:ncRNA from 1 species